AAGACAUGGCGCUGACGGGAGCUCCCCGACCAUUUGGCUCUUGAUUCUUCGGGGAAAGCAGCUGUAGAGAAAUGAGAAUACAGGACCCCCUCCUCACACUCGCACACCCUGGUUCGCACGCAUUCCGGUACCCGUCACCUCGGAGCCAGCGAGACCUGGGAUCCAAAUGCGGUUCUGCCUCCUCCGGCCGUGGAGCACUGCAGUGUCGUCCUCCACGAGCCUCCCUGCCCCUGCUCCUGAUUCCCUUUCAGGAAUUUACAAACAUUUUCCCCAGAUCAAUAUCCGUAUUGAUUAUUCAUUGUGAGUGAGUCGUGUGUCUUUGGUGAUCCAGCUUGCAGAGGUAGCAGGCAAAGGCUGCUGCGGGGGAAAAAAAUAACAGAAGGCGAGAGGGACCCAGCUCUUGCUGGGUCUGCGGCUGUCGGCAACACAGAAGGGAAGAGAAAAAGAGAAAAGCACCUCAAAACCAAGGAAUGGACACGGGUGGAAGAGAAAGAGGGAGCAAUAGCAAGAAAAAAGGAAUCGAUGACUGGACAUCUGGUCCCAGGGAAUCUCGAUGGCUUGGAGGAAACCCCCAUCUUGGGUCUGCUGUUACGUGCAGGACGCAAUGGACUUUGCUCUGGGAGUGCAAAGUGACUCACAGUUUUGGUAUCUCCUACGUAAGAGCUUUGGGGGGAUUCCUUGGCUUGCUGACAGGCAAGGAAGACAGCGGCAGCAGUGAGGUAAAACACGAUUACUUCCAACUGCCUUGCGGAGGAGGCGCAGUCGUGCGGUGUGACUUGGACAGCUUGCUGCUCUCUGAUGGCACGCGGAGGGAGAAUAAUUAAAAAGGCCAGCAUCACUUACUAACACUCUUCAUCUCAAGUGAGUAAGAAAAAAAAGAUAGAAAUCCCCAGAAGAGAGAGAUCCUGCCUGUAGUUUGGAAGAAGCCACGCGGUACCUGAGAUAACUUCAACAGCAAAGGGCACUUCAGCAAAUGGUGAAGACAGCAAGAAGGCUCCUCUUC
rnacentral:lncRNA from 1 species